rnacentral:rRNA from 1 species
AUCCACGGCCACACCACCCUGAACACACCUGAUCUCGGAAGCUAAGCAGGGUCGGGCCUGGUUAGUACUUUGAUGGAAGAAAACAUUACAACAGCCUGUGAAAGACAAGUGUGUAAC